CUCUCCAGAUCCAAAUCGCCUCAGAUCCAAAUCGCGCAGAUGCUGACGUCCCUGCACAUGGCGGUUUUUAGAUCCAAAUCGCCCCAGAUCCAAAUCGCGCAGAUGCUGACGUCCCUGCACAUGGCGGUUUUCAGAUUGUGUUCCGUUUUCGAGCUUCGAGGGAUCGAAGAUCAAGCGUUGGCGACCAAGUGAUAUAGCUCUUCGAGUUCUAUGAGGCAGAAGAUCCUGAGCAUCUGUUUGGUGAAGGCAAGUGUCCUUUGACCCAUUAUGUCCCUUUCACUUAUAAUACACUGUCCCGCAUUACUUAAUUGAAACCUAAGGAUUGACUAGCUUUGUAUUUACCUUACACUUGAUUACCUAUUGGGUUACUAUGGUUAGCUUUAUGCUAUUGCUUUAACUUAA